rnacentral:rRNA from 1 species
UGGGGAAUAUUGGACAAUGGGGGGAACCCUGAUCCAGCCACGCCGCGUGUGUGAAGAAGGCCUUAUGGUUGUAAAGCACUUUAAGCGAGGAGGAGGGUACUGGUAUUAAUACUACCAGGUACUGGACGUUACUCGCAGAAUAAGCACCGGCUAACUCUGUGCCAGCAGCCGCGGUAAUACAGAGGGUGCGAGCGUUAAUCGGAUUUACUGGGCGUAAAGCGUGCGUAGGCGGCUAAUUGAGUCGGAUGUGAAAUCCCCGAGCUUAACUUGGGAAUUGCAUUCGAUACUGGUUAGCUAGAGUGUGGGAGAGGAUGGUAGAAUUCCAGGUGUAGCGGUGAAAUGCGUAGAGAUCUGGAGGAAUACCGAUGGCGAAGGCAGCCAUCUGGCCUAACACUGACGCUGAGGUACGAAAGCAUGGGGAGCAAACAGG